CCUCUUGAAAAGAUGAACUCACUGGCCCCUCCGCGAUUUUUCUGAAGCUUCCAAAUAGAGGCAUCUGCCAGGUGUCAGGCUGCAGCCUCCUAGACCCUCGGCAGACACAGCUAAUUGGAGGCAGAUUUUAGCACGGCCUGUGACCAGUCCUUCUCUGCAGUCUCCGACUUCCUUGAGCUCCGAGGCCCCCACAGGGCACGGGGUAAUUUGGGUUAGUAGCCUCCGGAGGAGAGGGCGAUUCUCUGGCUUAGGAAUCACACGAGGCCACCGAGAGCCGACAGGCCAUGGCCUGAUUUUUUUUGUCCUGCCCCAGUGGGAGCGGCGGAACCUCCUGGACGGAACAUAAGGAAACAGGUGGACACACAGGGAGGUCGGGGGACACCCCCUCACCGGCAUAGGAGUCCCAUAAAAAUAGGAACCGCAGUAGGUCUUAUUCCCAGGUGAACACGUGGAAUUAGAGCGGGGCAAAGCGUCAGUCGGCGGGUGUUCCAUGUGCGAAUGAACGGCUACCUGGCCAGGAAGUCCCUCCCUAGAGAUCUUCCCCUGCUGCUCUCAGCUCCACCUGCCUCCUCCAGCCGAGAUGCAUCUCUCUGGCUGCCCCCCCCCCCCCCCCGGGUCACCAUCACACGGUCUGCAGAGAGCACGCACAUGUCUUGAUACAAAGCAUGAAAGAGGCCGCGAAGGAUUUCAAUAAUUAUUUGAUGAGUGACUGAGUGAAUACCUGAAAACUAUCCUCCUGGGCCCAGAGCUCUUGACUACAAAACCAUCUCGCACUGUCUUCUUGGGUUACUUCCUGCCUGUCACAGUAUUCAGAGUCCCUCUCACGUAGAAUAAAACCGUCCCUUGCCAUGGCAUGCACGCAGGAAGCGCGCAGAUGAUAACUUGAGCAGUGCUCGGGGGGCUUUGAUCUCUGAAAGGAGAGAAUCCUACGCCAGGCUUUGAGGUUGCCGCGUUGAAGCUGACAAACAGAAGACCUCUACUGUCUAAAGGGCCGGGUGUCGGAAGGGAAGGGAUCAGAUUUUACCCGACUGUGUUGUGUGUUCCCACCCUGGACCACUGGGCCCAGAAGGCAAGUGCAGAGAGCUCGCUCACCUGCCCGAGAUGCUCAUCGCUUGCUGAGUGAGCACGUGACAAGGCAGGGAGAAACCUCUGCCAGGGAUGAGCACAGGUGGGUAUCGAGUGGCCCAGAGAAGGGCCCGCCCUGCUAUCUCCAUCCUGGAGGCAGAUUUGCUGCUCAUGGCAUCUCAGAGCAACUGACACAAGGAGGACCAUGUUCUAGAUUUCCAGGAAACCUGGGGUAUCCAGGAAGUAAGUGCUGGGGAGGCGAAGCCUCACACAGAUCUCUGGGUAACUGACAUCCAAGCUGUACCUUAAUUCGGGAUUAAAUCCAUGCAAUCGUUGCACGGAACAUGGCAAAUGAUUAAAAAAAAUCAGCUAUCUUAGAUGAUGGGCUUAUUUUUUAUUUUUUUAUUUUUUAAAGGUUUUAUUUAUUCAUGAGAUGCACACAGAGAGAGGCAGAGGGAGAACCAGGCUCCCUGCAGGGAGCUCAAUGUGGGACUCGAUCCCAGGAUCCCGGGACCAUGCUCCGAGCCCAACGUUGAACCGUUGAGCCACCCAGGCAUCCCUAGGUGAUGGGUUUAUAAUGAAUUCAUUGUGUUAUUUUUGCAACUUUCUUCAGGUUUGUGAUUUUUCUUGAUUUUAAAAAAGUUUAAAGUCAAAGGAGAGCAAGUCAAAUGAAUAAGGGGGAAAAAAACCUAAUAAAGGUUUCUUUUUCUAGAACAGCGUGCAUACCAGUGUGUGUAGUCAGAUACCCUCUACACAUGCAGAUGUGGAGAAAGUGACUCUGUGGAUACGUGUGGUUGUAAUAAUCAUCCAGGAAAUCUCUGGACAGCCUCAGAGGAAUCCAAAAAUAGUAACUGCCUCCGCAGGGAAGGAAAUUCAUGGAUGAGAGGAGGCGCGGAGGGAGACGGGAUUCUCUGUAGACCUUUUAUCACCUUUUGAAUUUCAGACCAUCUUCAUCUAUUGAGCUGUCUUAGCUACUUAAAGAUAAUAAAGAUGAAAACAAACAAACCACCUAGUCAUGACCAACAGUGGCCCGAGAACUGUACUGAGCCUUCUCUCUCUCUCUCUCUCUCUCUCUCUCUCACUUCUGCACUACAAAAUCCUUCCUGGCCUUUUCUUGGUAAACUCCUAUGCAUGCUCCAUGUCUAAAUCCAAAGGUCACCUCCCCACUGAAGCUUCUCUUGGUUUCGUCUCCCAGAGUCACCCCCUCGACGCUCCUAGGGCAGCCUAGACCUGUCUAGAAGGAGCUUGCAUCACGGUUAUUUGUCUGCCAUGGUUAUUUGGCUCCAUCACACAGAGGGAAGUUCUUCAAAGACACGGCUUGAGUUUCACUCCUGUAUUCCCCCAAAGCAUGUGCAUUUGGCCCCUUGUUUCAUUUCCAGCACCUAUUCCAAUGGCUAAAACAAGAACAGUCCUCAAGAGGUGGAUGGUUCUCUUUGCCUCCUCGCCCUGUGUGUUCCCUCUCACUCAGUGCACACACUCAGCUGCAUCCUAAUGCCUUAGCCAGAAGCUGCCGGGGCUCCUUCAGAACCCACGUGGAGGUUUAGGCCAUGGCCACACCGGGAGAGCCAUGAUACAGUUGCCCUCUAACUUCCUUAGGACUGCAAGGCAAGCUACGGAAGAACUGGAAGUGUCGGUGCUCAGGAGGAGGGAGGGACCCUGGCCUCCCCCAUUGUUGAUCGCGUCCCUUAGCCAGUUGACUUUCAGCUCUCUGGACCUCAGGAUGCUCGUCUAUGAAAGAAUCGUGAUGACUGCACGUACCACUCCUACCACUCCAAGUCCUGGUGACGCCCGACAAGAUCGCGCAGCCGAGCGCAGUGCCUGCACGCGGGCAGGCUCCCCAAACACCAGCUCUCACUGUCGUUACCAGGCGUGGCCUCGGAGUCGUGUUCAUCGGUAGCUAAAUACAGCAGGAUUCAAGACCCGCAACUCCCGUGGAAGGUCUGUCCUUUAGCAUUGAUUGGGGCCGAGAUAGGCCCCUUGUGUUGCCCGGCACAUGAGCGCUGCCCGUAAUUCCCAGCUGACGGCAGGACCCACAGUCACAUCACAGGCACCCAAGAUCUGCAAAGAAGUCCGCAAGUGGACUGUGUCUGCUUUUUAUUCAGGUGACACCAGCUACAGACAGAUACUUGGCCUCUUUCUCCACAGUGGCCUACAUCCCGAAAUAGGCAAUGUGCAUUCACAGACAGACCCAGCAGGCCCGGGGGGUGGAAGGCAGGCUGCCAACAUUUCGAACAAAGCCGAGCCUGGUGGGUAUACUUCGGCACAGAGCAACUUAACUGUCAGCUCAUCGAUGAAAAGGGAGGUGCCCCUUCUGCUCUGCGAGCCUACCCGGCACACCGCAGGUGCCUUCCGGAAAUGCUGCCAUGUGAAUUGACGGGGGAUCAAGAAUCUGAGUCUGGAGCCUAAGCUGUUGGUUAAUUGUGUUUUGUUCUUCUGAAACCUUACAGUAUAACCACAAACAAGUCUUUCCUUUCUUUAAGGAGAAAAAAAAAAAAAUCCUCUCUGUAAAACAAGAAUCUUAG